UUGCUUUGGUGGCACAUAUGCUGAAAUUGGAACGAUGCAGAGAAGAUUAGCAUGGUCCCUGCACAAGGAGAACACGGAAACUCAUGAAGAAUUCCCGAUUUUU